rnacentral:rRNA from 1 species
AUGGAUGAGUGGGUUCGCCAGGCCGAGGCGUGGGCGGGCCAGGCCGAGCGCUGGAUCCGCCAGCAGCCCCCGGAGCAGAUUUACGUCGCCGUCGCCGUGAUUGCCGUCACAAUUCUGGUGCUCCUCGCAGCUUCUUGUCUGAAAUCAUCGAAAUCAAAUACCAUUGUGCUAUCCGGGCUAAGUGGAAGUGGUAAAACUAUUCUUUUCUACCAGCUUCGUGAUGGGUCAUCUCAUCAAGGAACUGUGACAUCGAUGGAUCCUAACAAUGAUACGUUUGUGCUACAUUCAGAGCUUGAAAGGAAAGGCAAAGUUAAACCUGUCCAUGUUGUUGAUGUUCCUGGUCAUGCAAGGCUGAAACCCAAGCUGGAUGAAUUCCUGCCUCGGGCAGCUGGAGUUGUUUUUGUUGUUGAUGCUCAGGAUUUCUUGUCUAGCAUGCAAGCUGCUGCAGAGUACUUAUAUGACAUUUUGACGAAGGCUACUGUGGUGAAGAAAAGGAUUCCUGUUCUUAUAUUCUGCAAUAAAACAGACAAAGUUACCGCUCACUCGAAGGAGUUCAUCAAGAAGCAGCUGGAAAAAGAAGUGAACAAGCUUCGGGAAUCGAGGAAUGCCAUAUCAUCUGCUGACAUCACUGAUGAAGUUGAGCUUGGUGUCCCUGGAGAGGCAUUCAACUUCAGUCAAUGCCAGAACAAGGUGACAGUUGCUGAAGGCGCUGGUCUCACCGGUAAUGUUUCAGCAGUCGAGCAAUUCAUCCGCGAGCACGUCAGGGCUUAG